UCUAGAUUUUGUAGUAAGAAAUGUUACUUCUUUUAUAAAUGAAGAAAAAUUGAUAAUUAGGAUUUAUUAUGAAGAAGAAGAUUUAAAAUGUUGUAUUUAACAUUUUGGAACGACUUUACAUUAAAUUUUGUUUAUUUUAAAAUCAAGUGACGAAUUAAAUUUUGUUUGAACCAAUCGGAAUUAAUAAUUAGUACAAAGAUUACGCCAAAAAGGAAAUUUAUACCUAAGUGAAUGAAAUAAUUAUGAUUCGUAUUUAUUAAACUUGUAAUAUCAAUGUUGAAAUGAAUAUAGAAUCAUUCAUAAUAUUUUUUCAGUUAUAACCAGAGAUUUAACAUAUCACGGAAAGGAAUGCAUACUAGUCGAUAAUAGACAACUUGUAUCUCAUCAUAGAGAAAAGAUUGAAAGUUAUCCUGAAAUUGCGCAAUUAUUAGUAUUAAAUGCAGCAGAUAUUAUUAGAAGGCAUAACGGAAUAGACUGCAUCGAAUUUAAGAAACAAAGGUGACAACUUUUCUUUUUGUUAAGAAUUUAUUGUAUAAUUAACCAUUAUCGUUUAGGAAAGGAACUAAUUAUGUAUUUUCGAGCCACGAUAAAUGGUAUAUAUUGUCGUAGAAUAAAUAACACGGUGUUUAAAGAUUCCUUAAUCGACUUAAACGUUAUUUUUAGGCCCACUGUCCACGAAGAGUCGCUUCAUAGACGUACUAGACGCGUUGAUGCUAAGAGCAAGUACUAAGUACGCUUCCAUGCAGUGUUUAUUGUAAAGUAAUGUGCACCUGUCCAUGAAACAGCAGCAAACGGUGUUCGUCGCUACAUGUUUUCAUCACGAUGGCUGUCGCUAACAUUGUCAGUAGCGAGGCGUACGUUACAGCUAUAAACGAAUGCAGCGAUACAGGGUGAAAAAGGUUUUACUCGUCGCUCGAUGUUUUAAUAACGAAUAACGAACAGACCACGGAUUUCUGAUGUAAAUUCACAUUUUCACGAAUACGAUAAAAUACAGGAUCUAGAUAGAGAUUUGUUUUAUCCAUUAAGUACUACAAGAAGUACUGUACAUUGAAUAUCUUAUAUAUUUUUACGUAUUAUGUGCAUCCCAUGCAUUUUUGUAUCUUCAAAUUUCUCACAAUUGCAUAAAAAAUCCGUAGUCUAAUAACGAGGUAAAAUGUACCUUGCUGUACGUUUCGUAGACUGAAUAUCGUCAUGUCUAAUAGACUAUGCUUAGGCUUUUAUGGAACGAAGCUUCGUGGACAGUGGAUCUUGCAGUGCCCUCCUUAGAGCGCCAGACCACCAAGUAUAUUGUCAAUAUUUCAAGAUUCUCAAUUAAAAGGAUCAAUAUGGAUUGUCAAUAUUUAUUGACAAACCUUAUUUUCACUGAGAACUUUGAUAUAUUGGCGAUAUUAUUGAUUGUCCGAGGGCACCCUUAGGAAGAAAUUUUCAUAUCUAGGAUAUUUUCAAGCUACGACAAAUGGUUCGUAUUCUCGUAGAAUAAACAACACGAUACAAAUCAUGUUUUCUUACGCAAAAUAAUAAGUACAGCGACAGUACUAUGUCCAAACAUUACUGCGAGUAACUGUACAUUGCCGAACGCGCGACUACGAUAUUCCACAAUUUGACUGAUAAAAUUGUAUACGUAUACGUCUGCCUCGACUGAAUACAUGCGCGUGUUACUCGGCAAGCAGGAGAACCCGUCGACGGGUUACUCACCGCGGGCGACGCUCCAUCGAUCGCGUCGCUUUGCGAGGGGUGGAAUCGUGGCCAGAGACAUUGCCGAAGCGAGAGAGAAAUUAAUAUCAGAGUAGGAGAGAAGAGGCCAGCCAGGAGAGAGGGAGAAAGGGUGAGCGGAAGGGGAGACGAGGAGAAACGACGAGAGACGAGGAACAGUAGGGAAGCCGGGACUCCCCUAUGUCGACGUUCAACUCUGCAAUGUCGGCUCUUCGAGGGUGUAUUUUAUGGUGAAAUAGGGGAAAUGAGGAGCGACGAAGACAGGUUAUACGUAAAAAGGAACGGAGCGUUGUAGACAUAAAGAACGGAAAGGAGAGGCGUAGGGAAGGGGAGAGACAAGAUAGAAAAAAAUAGAUAGGGGGUAACAGAGAGCGAUGUGGUGGGAGAGAAACCAGAGAUUAUAAAAGCUAUGAGAGAGGAGGAUGAGCGCUGGUCGAGGAUAUAAGAUAUCCAUGAGAGGAUUGAAAAAGGAAAGAAGUGUAAGAUGGUGGGAGGAAGGAAAUUGUAAUAUCAAACGAGAGAAUUUAAAAAGUUAUUUUAUAUGUAUUUCAUCGAUGGAUCAACCAAUAUUUUUCGAGUUCAGAUGUAUCAUGUACAGGCUGUUCCAAAUCUCAACCGGUGAACCUUGUCAAAAUGUUUGGGAGGUCAUUUUGAGUAAAAGAUCUUAUAUAUUCCAUGGGUCGAUUCGUCUUCCUUUUCAAGAGAAUUAACAAAUUGCAUCGAACGAUGUGUGGAAAGAUAUAUAGUUCCAUUUAAAAAAAGAAAACGAAGUUCACCUUGAAAUCUCAGAGGCACGUCAACUAAGAUAAGAUUCGUGACAUUACAAAAGUCGAAAAUGAAGAAUUUCACACGUGAUGUAAGAAGUAUGAAAUAUUUUGAACAACAUCGACGUGGAAGGUAACGCAGCCCAAGUCCAUAUCUACAUAUAAUUAAGAUCGCAAGAACCUGUAAUAGAAAUUGGGGAUAGGAAAAUAAUCUGCACGUUAACCACAUUUUUUUUAGUAAAAAUUUAAUUUAUAUAAUAAUCGAUAUUAUAAAACUAGUAGUGGUAUAAGCGAGAAGAUGACGAGUUUAUCAAAUUGCAGAGGUAUGAAAGGGUCGAUUAAACAAUCGCGCAAAAUCUUUCACAAUUUAGUGGUUCAAUAUGCCGAUCCUAAAGCAUUAUCAUACGUUAAUUAAAAGUUUUAAGCCUAGCUAACCGAACGUGUAUAACAGUAGAUUAAAUCGAUGCUUUAUUAUCAAUUAUCUCUCAGAGCAAAUCACAAAUCAAAAUCAAACUCGAGCGCUCUUUUCAUACGAGCUUAACUUCUUGACGUACGAUUUAAUUGAGAUUAACUUGUCAUUAUAUACUUCGCGUACAAUAUUAUUACCAUUUCUUUCAAGAUUCACUUCCAACAUCUAUUAUCCAAAUGUUCUACUAUACGAACUUUUUGCGUGCGCCCAUUACCAUUAUAUUUUAUCCUUUCUAUACUUACAUAUUAUUUUCCUACUACUUUAGUACAAAGCUACUGUUAUACACGUUAAUAUUUUGUGUAUAAUGAUACGAACGUCGAAACGAAAGGGAAGAUACUUCAAAAGCUAAAGAAAGCUGUGGAAGCGUUAUCUCUUAUCGUCUAUCUAUACCAUUAUUUGCGCGUAAUCUUGUGAACUUUCUUUUCACCGGUCUAGAUUAAAUUAUAUCAUGUAGCAGAAAAAAACAAUUUCUUAUUGUAUAUUGUACUAAAUUGUGGGAACAAAGGUUCUUUAGAAAAAAAAAUGCGCUAUAAGAUUCAAAAGCAACACUGACUGGACCUAUGCAUUUCUUUCCUUAUAUGAAAUGUGAAACCAAAAAGAUUUAUUUUUAUAUUUUGCCAUCGUGUCUUUGUGCAUUUUAACCACUUUCUAGAUAUAUGAAUGAAUAUGUACAAAUUUUAUAUUAAAGCUUUUUUACCUAUUAAAUCCUAUUUUAUGGUUGUGAAAAUGUACUUAAUUCGAUGGAUUGUAUAUAUCCUGAUUAACAAAUAUCUUUCCCAAUAAAACUAUAUAUUGAUUUGUGAAGAGAAUUGGUCGCUUAAUCCUCAGAAAAUCUUCAAUUUUAUGAAUCUGCAAUAGUCUUCAAUAAUUAAUCUUCGAUCGUUAAUCGUCAUAAUCUUCCGCAUAUUGGGAAAAUUUUAUAUGAAAAAUUGAUAAAUUAUGCAUAGACUUAAAUUAUUCGUAAAUGAAAGAACAAAAAGACAAAUACGCAUACGUAUGGAUAUGUAUAUGUUAUAAUAACCCAUUAAAAAUGUACAUAAUAUUAUAACAUAUUCAUUGUAUUAAUUCAUUCUAUACUUACGUUUUAAUUUAAUUCCUUCUCUUCUAUUCUCGUCUCUUUCUCCUUUUAAUAUCUAAUACUUUUUCAUUUUUCGUUUCAGUAUUUAAUUAAAAACUUAAUUUUAUGGAUAAUUUUGUCUUCCUGAUACUCGCAAUGUAUUUGCUUAGACUUCUUUAUAUUUUAAUUCCAUAAAUUGAAAAUGUAUGUACUCCUAAUACAUCGCACGAGUUACGUAUCUUAUUGUUACAACCAUACUUACAAUCAGUAUCUUGCAAUAGUCACAAUACCUGCAAUAGAGAAAUCGUGUAAAAAAAAUAUAAAAUUAUGUUUAAAAAAAUAGAGAUGUAACAAAAUAAAUGCAGUGCUGUUAAAAAAGAAAGAUAAUAACAGGUGUCAAAUCUUUAAAAUGCUCACCUUCUUUACUUUUUAUCAAUAAUUCUUUCACUUAUUAUAUAUUAUACAUAACUAAAUAUUUAGUCGAGAUUUAAUUCUCUAUGGAAAAAUAAACAAGCACAUUUACCUCGUCAAUAUGUUUUGAGUUUCUCCUAAUAAAUGGCAAUAAGUAACGAAAUCAUAAAUAUAAUAAAAAAUUGUUUAAAAUAAAAACUCCACGAUUUAUUACCAAUUAAUGUUUUGUUUGUAUAUUUAUUUAAUGUAUAAUAUUAUAACUGGGUCCGCAUAAUGUUUUCGCUGUCCAAAUGGAAAUGUCACGAAUGGAAAAUGUUUAAGAGGCGCUGGAACAAGGCAUGAAACGAUACGAUAUUCUAAGCUUGAAAUGAUCCAAUGAAAAAGAACAGGUUGGUGUUUUUGAAGCAAACAAAAUACUUUAUUGUUAGAUAUUAUAGUACAGUACGUGUAGCCCGUGACACAUUAAAACAGACCAUUUAGUUACAUUUUAAAUAAAUAGCCUCCUUACUCCAUAACCAACCUUGAUAUGACCCAAUUAGUCUUUCUUUCUUUCGUUCGCAUUCUUUCAUUCUUCUAUUCUUAUACAUGCUUGCACACAUACGCAUACAUAUUCAUCAUUCGUUCAUCCGUUCUUUCUGCUUUUAUCCCCAUUUCAUUCUGUUGAUCUGCCAUCUUUCUUCUUUCUGUAACAUUGUUUAAAAGCCAAUUGUUAACAAUAUCAAUUUCACAUGCAACAGGGUAGAGGGAGAGUGAGACGACUUUUUAUUAGAAAAAAUAAUUUUCGCUCAGCGUGUACUCUUUUUUUCUUCCCGUUUUUAUUUUUUUAAAACUUCUCUCUCUCUCUCUCUCUCUUUCUCCUUCUCCUUUGCUCUCUAUUUGCUCGCUAUCUUUUAUCUUUCCAUCACUUUCUUUAUCAACAUUCCUUUUUCAUAUUGUUAUUUAAUAUUCGCAGUAGCGUUUUUCGUUCCGUCGCUAUUCUCGCAAGUAGGACGAAAGCAUUACCGAAUAGAUUUUUCAAGAGAACACGUCUGAUGAAACGAUUCGUCUUCAAGGGUUAUUCCCCGAAAUUCACGUUUCCAUUCGUUCUCUUGUGACGCACCGUUUCGAAUUUUUAUUGCCUCUUCUAUUCGAUAUUGUGUCGUCUUGCUGUCGUCCGCAAAGCUGCAGUAUGAUUCCUGCGCAGAUUAAACGGGUAUUCAUUUUAAUCUGGGUCCAAAGAACGUUUUCGCAUUUCCUUAAGAAUGUAGUAUACUCAAAAUAUAUGUAAAUGCGUGUGAAAUUUUGUGGUGGAAUUAAAAACAUUACAAAACAACUUUUAAACCACGAUCAUCCCACGCCUCGGACGAAGUAAAUACACGUCACUCAGGAUCUUCCCUUUCAUAAUAUAUGUAUAUCUCAAGAUCAAAGUUAUUGGAGUUGAGAUCCCCUUUUCUACAUAAAUAUCCAGUUUCCCUUUAAAACAAAAAUGAAAGUUGAAACAUUUCAUUUACGUUUCGCUCUUACAUUUUGCUAUUUUCCAAUUUUUAUUAACGAUUCUGGCACAAGAGACGAAAACAAUUCCACGAAUUGAAAGUUACUGGAAUAAGAACGUUGGAAUCAUGGUAAGUAUAAAAAAUGAACCUAUCAACGUGAUCUUUUUUUUUAACCUUUUUAUUCUUCAUAAAGAAACUAUUACCGAUAGCAAGAUUAUUAUAAAGAAUUUGCGAGUCUUAUCGAACUAAACAAAUUAGCAAAAUUACAGACUAGAAUUUCCCAUAAUCGAAACAAAAAGCGUAAAAAUCCACUUUUGAUCCGAUUUUAAACGAUUACCCUUAAAAGUAUCAGUAGAAACGAAAGGAAGUCUUUACAAUUGGUUUCCUCGUUCGUAUCCAAAAUUCGUCAUGCCAAAUUUCUAUUCACAAGCGAAUUCACGGUGAAAUAUAAAUAGUUGCAGCUGAAGUUGCCGGUCAGGAAUCAGAAAAUCAUUAAAUCGCCAAAUCGUUGAUCUGUUUCCAAUAGAUUUCAAUUGUAACGUUUACUUUUACAGUUAUCCUAUGUUAUUUUAUCGUCGUUAAACAGAAUAUAACCUGUAAGCUGGAAUCUGAAAUAAGAAAAUAUAUUUCUUAAUUAAAAAAAUUACUGAAUAGUAAUUUUAACUUUUGAUUUCAUUAAUUUCCCAAUAUCAAAGUUAAUUGUAGUUCAAACAAACGUUUAGCGUUUUCAUGAUUUUUGACAGUCUUUCAUUGGAAUAUUUCGCGACGGCACAAAAAGGUUGCACAACUUACGUACAUGUAUAUAAACAUAUACAUAUUAUAUAUAUAUAUGCACGUACGCGUGAUAUCUAUUUUUUUAUGCGUGUACAUACGUAUAAUAGCUACAAAUAUAGUCACAGGCCAACAUUUCGUAGUACAACACAGCACAAUCAUUGUCGUAUCAUUAUUUUUUCAUGUCCGAUAGGUUUCACAUUAUAUUACGGUAUCAAGUUUAAAUAAUAUAAUCGUAAUAAUAUAUAAUAUAUAUAAUAUAUAUAAUAUUAAAAUUGACCGAAUAUAUUCUAUUGACUAGGCACACUUAGUUUAUAACAAGAAAAAAAUUGUUUCCCUUUCGUUCGCUCUCUCUCUCUCUCUCUCUUUCUCUCCCUCUUUCUUUCCACACUUGCAUCCUUUCCUUCUCUCUCUCUCUCUCUCUCUCUCUCUCUCUUUCACU